ACACCAGACUCCUACGGGAGGCAGCAGUGAGGGAUAUUGCACAAUGGGGGGAACCCCGAUGCAGCGACGCCGCGUGGGUGAAGGAGUGCUUCGGCAUGUAAAGCCCUAUCGGCAGGGAAGAAGCAAGACGGUACCUGACUAAGAAGCCCCGGCUAACUACGUGCCAGCAGCCGCGGUAAUACGUAGGGGGCGAGCGUUAUCCGGAUUCACUGGGUGUAAAGGGAGCGUAGACGGCCAUGCAAGCCAGGGGUGAAAGCCCGGGGCCCAACCCCGGGACUGCCCUUGGAACUGCAUGGCUGGAGUGCGGGAGGGGCAGGCGGAAUUCCUGGUGUAGCGGUGAAAUGCGUAGAUAUCAGGAGGAACACCGGCGGCGAAGGCGGCCUGCUGGACCGUAACUGACGUUGAGGCUCGAAAGCGUGGGGAGCAAACAGGAUUAGAUACCCGCGUAUU
rnacentral:rRNA from 1 species